UAGCUAGUUGGUGGGGUAAGGGGCCUACCAAGGCGACGAUCGGUAGCUGGUCUGAGAGGAUGACCAGCCACACUGGAACUGAGACACGGUCCAGACUCCUACGGGAGGCAGCAGUGGGGAAUAUUGGACAAUGGGGGCAACCCUGAUCCAGCAAUGCCGCGUGUGUGAAGAAGGCCUGAGGGUUGUAAAGCACUUUCAGUGGGGAGGAGGGUUGAUAGGUUAAGAGCUGAUUAACUGGACGUUACCCACAGAAGAAGCACCGGCUAACUCCGUGCCAGCAGCCGCGGUAAUACGGAGGGUGCGAGCGUUAAUCGGAAUUACUGGGCGUAAAGGGUGCGUAGGUGGUUGAUUAAGUUAUCUGUGAAAUUCCUGGGCUUAACCUGGGACGGUCAGAUAAUACUGGUUGACUCGAGUAUGGGAGAGGGUAGUGGAAUUUCCGGUGUAGCGGUGAAAUGCGUAGAGAUCGGAAGGAACACCAGUGGCGAAGGCGGCUACCUGGCCUAAUACUGACACUGAGGCACGAAAGCGUGGGGAGCAAACAGGAUUAGAUACCCUGGUAGUCCACGCUGUAAACGAUGUCAACUAGCUGUUGGUUAUAUGAAAAUAAUUAGUGGCGC
rnacentral:rRNA from 1 species